GGGCUGGCACAGAGGUAGAAGGGUGGCGGGUAGGAGGUAUCCCUGAGUACCCUGGUCAGCUCCUCACAUCAGCUGACUUGGUUCAUGAGACAAAGUACAAACCCAUUUUUAUUUCCAUGACUCCAAUUGCACCUCUGCUGGGGUUAGGAAACCCAUUCCCCGGAUGGCACUGAGCCAGAAAAUUAGCAAUGAUCAAUGAAAGGGGAAGGAUGAUGAAAUAAAAGUGGAGUCUCAAUUAUGCUCUAAAUGAGCAAGGCGAUGUUAAGUCUUCAACAGAGGAGGGGCCGGGGACUGGAGGAAGGAAAAAAUGAUUACGUGGAAGAAUUCAGUGCCCCAGUCUGGACUUAGCCAUUGAUUUCCUAUUCCAGUUCCAUGGAUGGACCAUAAAGGCCUUGCAGAGUGCAUGGACUCCCCUGCCAUAUUUCUCCACAAUCUGCCUAAAGUUUUCAAGACAGAUUAGCCGAGAAGAGCCAUUAUGGGAUGAAAGAGGAGGGCACGCUGGGAGAAGAAUGAAAUGAAACAUUCACCCAUGCAAACGUUUCCUCCCUGGAUACUAUUUGGAUUUUAAUUUUUUUUUUUUUCAAAUAUAAGAUAAAAUACAAGAUGUUGGUGCUGUUUGGAGAUAGCACACAUCUGUACAGCAAGGAGACAAUUCUCCAAAGUGCAGCUCUCAGUGGGCUAUUUAUUUAAUUCGUAUUGGUUUUGGACCGCAGCCUGUAAUGAGGAAAGAUACGGAUGGAGGCAGGAGAUGGCGGUUGGAAGUCUGUACCUUUUUGAACAUGAAAGUACAAAAGGGUCGUGCAUGUAUUGAGGUUUUAGUGAAAAUUCAAUAACUUUAGCUGCAGACACUCUGCUCCAGGACACUAAUAAAGAUGGGAGAGCUAAUAAAGGACCCAAAUUCGAGCUUCUUAGAGAUGAAAGCUGGAGUGGUGCCAGGCUCAGCUGCCCUGAUGUUGAAGAAUGCCCUGGUAUGUUUUUGCACAUGGGCCAAUUGAGGAUUAGGUUGAUUUUAAGGUGUCUGUCAACAGCAUAUGAGCCCCAGGGACCUAUGAAUGCCAAACAGGCCCUACUGAAAUGGGGUUCAUUGAAGGGGGAUCAGGGAUGCUUGAAUUUCCUGCCAGCAAAUGCCCUGAUAGACAGGCAGGCCAGAGUUAAAAACAAGAAGGUCCUCCCCAAAGUGAGACAUCCCUGCAUUGGGUCUUUUGGUCUUCCUGAAGCACAGUGGCGUGAAGAUCUCAUCAAUGAGCUCGGGUGUGAGCGAAAGGGCCAAAAGCCUCUAAGAAAGAGGCAGCAGCUAGCAAAGAGCUGUAGCGUGGGAGGAAAGGGCUUGGCCUUGGCAGCAUGAAAGACUCCCUGAAUUAUCUAACUCCAUCCUCCUCUCCACCCAGUACUGUCACUUUCUAUGCUCACUUAUCUAAAACCACACCCUUGCAAGUGGCAGAUUCAGGGCUUGAACUCAGAUGGAAGGCAUGGAUGAACAGCAUGGUCUGAGCCCAGCGAAGCCAUCUGGGGUUCAUAUCCUCCAGCUCCCAGAGGAAAUCAGAGUUCUGGAAAGAGAAAUCUGGGAUGGGGCUCAACUCACUGACUUGCUCUGUUAUUAGGGUUGAACAUGUUUGCAGAGGGCUGUUUGAGAACCAUCUUGAAAUCAGCCCACAGCCUUCUCAGCUGCAGGCUGAUGCCCUCAGUUUAUACCAGGUUUGAUGCUUUGCUGACAAGUUUGGCCACAUUUGCAGAAGGCUGCCUGAGAAACAUCUGCUUGAGAAGCUCAGUUUUUUUCCUCUUUGGGCUAGAGAUUCUCAACCUGCACUAGCUUUGCCUGAGGUCUGAAUCCUAAUUAGUGG
rnacentral:lncRNA from 10 species